rnacentral:misc_RNA from 1 species
UCUCCGUUGGUGAACCAGCGGAGGGAUCAUUACCGAGUUUACAACUCCCAAACCCAUGUGAACAUACCUACUGUUGCUUCGGCGGGAUUGCCCCGGGCGCCUCGUGUGCCCCGGAUCAGGCGCCCGCCAGAGGACCCCUAAACUCUGUUUCUAUAUGUAACUUCUGAGUAAAACCAUAAAUAAAUCAAAACUUUCAACAACGGAUCUCUUGGUUCUG